rnacentral:lncRNA from 1 species
GCGAAGAACUGGAAUAGAGCUCGCCUCGGCUCUGCUGGCCUUGGCUGAAGCUCUUCCAGAGACCCGGGGCGGCCACGGGAGAAUGCCUUACCUGAGUCAAGGAGCAUGGAUUCCAGGAACCCACUAGCAUACAGAACAACUUCUUGUGGACCCCCCUGGGAUCAGGACAUCGAGGGACAAGCAACAAAGAGGAUCAUCAGUGUCCAGCUAGUCUCUCUCUGGGGUUCAAACCUUGAAUCAAUGCCCUAGUGAGGGGGCACUGGCCAUGACCCCUCAACCUUUGCUCUGCUUGUAUCUUGAGUCUGAGUCCUUCCCUGUACAUCUGUGCUCGUGUUCAUCAGCUAGUGAACUGAAGUGCUUCCCUCCCCGAGGGGGGUCGUCCCUUGUGACUGACCAUGUUGUCCUAACAAUGUCCUGAGCAGAAGGGUCCCCAAUGGGAACCUCUCAGGAGGGGGGUUUGGGGCGGCGGGGGGGGGACCAGCAUCUUGCUGGCAACUGUGGGUG